rnacentral:rRNA from 1 species
GUGGGGAAUAUUGGGCAAUGGGCGAAAGCCUGACCCAGCAACGCCGCGUGAAGGAAGAAGGUCUUCGGAUCGUAAACUUCUAUCCUUGGUGAAGAUAAUGACGGUAGCCGAGAAGGAAGCCCCGGCUAACUACGUGCCAGCAGCCGCGGUAAUACGUAGGGGGCAAGCGUUGUCCGGAAUGAUUGGGCGUAAAGGGCGCGUAGGCGGCCUGGUAAGUCUGGAGUGAAAGUCCUGCUUUUAAGGUGGGAAUUGCUUUGGAUACUGUCGGGCUUGAGUGCAGGAGAGGUAAGUGGACUUCCCGGUGUAGCGGUGAAAUGCGUAGAGAUCGGGAGGAACACCAGUGGCGAAGGCGACUUACUGGACUGUAACUGACGCUGAGGCGCGAAAGUGUGGGGAGCAAACAGGAUUAGAUACCCGAGUAGUCC